CUGGGAAGCUUUUCUGUUUGGCCCCUGGCAGAUCUUAACCAUGUACAUGUCAAGACCUCUCAAAUAGUGGCACAUGUGAGCAACAGACUCUUGACCAUGAAACUCUAGCCUGUGUGCAGAUCUAGGUUCUGCCUCGCACCUGAGGAGCCAUUUGCCUGAAGCCUAGAACCCUGGAGUGACCCUGUCACCCUUUGGAAUCCUGGUCUGAGCCAGCUGCUGACCUGCAGUCAUACGGGUAGAAACCUCCAUUGUAAAGCAGGCAGGAGAACUCAGCUUUGAAGACAGUUAAGUGCAAGAGG